GAGGUUAGCUCAGCUGGGAGAGCGCUUGCAUGGCAUGCAAGAGGUCAGCGGUUCGAUCCCGCUUAGCUCCA
rnacentral:tRNA from 1 species